rnacentral:rRNA from 1 species
CGGCGAACGGGUGAGUAACACGUGAGUAACCUGCCCUAGGCUUUGGGAUAACCCUCGGAAACGGGGGCUAAUACCGGAUAUGACUGCUGGUCGCAUGACUGGUGGUGGAAAGUUUUUCGGCCUGGGAUGGACUCGCGGCCUAUCAGCUUGUUGGUGGGGUAAUGGCCUACCAAGGCGACGACGGGUAGCCGGCCUGAGAGGGCGACCGGCCACACUGGGACUGAGACACGGCCCAGACUCCUACGGGAGGCAGCAGUGGGGAAUAUUGCACAAUGGGCGGAAGCCUGAUGCAGCGACGCCGCGUGAGGGAUGACGGCCUUCGGGUUGUAAACCUCUUUCAGCAGGGACGAAGCGAGAGUGACGGUACCUGCANAAGAAGCACCGGCCAACUACGUGCCAGCAGCCGCGGUAAGACGUAGGGUGCGAGCGUUGUCCGGAUUUAUUGGGCGUAAANAGCUCGUAGGCGGCUUGUCGCGUCNACUGUGAAAACCCGCGGCUCAACCGCGGGCUUGCAGCCGAUACGGGCAGGCUAGAGUUCGGUAGGGGAGACUGGAAUUCCUGGUGUAGCGGUGAAAUGCGCA